AAGGAUAAAAAUCAAAAGGAAUGGACGGGGGGCCCGCACAAGCGGUGGAGCCAUGUGGUUUAAUUUGAAGCAACGCGCAGAACCUUACCAGCCCUUGACAUCUGGGUCGCGGACAGUGGAGACAUUGUCCUUCAGUUAGGCUGGACCCAAGACAGGUGCUGCAUGGCUGUCGUCAGCUCGUGUCGUGAGAUGUUGGGUUAAGUCCCGCAACGAGCGCAACCCUCGCCCUUAGUUGCCAGCAUUCAGUUGGGCACUCUAAGGGGACUGCCGGUGAUAAGCCGAGAGGAAGGUGGGGAUGACGUCAAGUCCUCAUGGCCCUUACGGGCUGGGCUACACACGUGCUACAAUGGUGGUGACAGUGGGCAGCGAAGGAGCGAUCCCGAGCUAAUCUCCAAAAGCCAUCUCAGUUCGGAUUGCACUCUGCAACUCGAGUGCAUGAAGUUGGAAUCGCUAGUAAUCGCGGAUCAGCACGCCGCGGUGAAUACGUUCCCGGGCCU
rnacentral:rRNA from 1 species